rnacentral:rRNA from 1 species
UACGUAGGGGGCAAGCGUUGUCCGGAUUUAUUGGGCGUAAAGAGCGUGUAGGCGGCCAGGUAGGUCUGCUGUGAAAACUCGAGGCUUAACCUCGAGCUGUCGGCGGAAACCAUCUGGCUAGAGUCCGGAAGAGGAGAAUGGAAUUCCCGGUGUAGCGGUGAAAUGCGUAGAUAUUGGGAAGAACACCUGAGGCGAAGGCGGGUUGCUGGGCUGACACUGACGCUGAGGCGCGAAAGCCAGGGGAGCGAACGGG